rnacentral:rRNA from 1 species
AUUGAACGCUGGCGGCAUGCCUUACACAUGCAAGUCGAACGGCAGCGCGGGAGCAAUCCUGGCGGCGAGUGGCGAACGGGUGAGUAAUAUAUCGGAACGUGCCCAGUAGUGGGGGAUAGCCCGGCGAAAGCCGGAUUAAUACCGCAUGAGACCUGAGGGUGAAAGCGGGGGAUCGCAAGACCUCGCGCUAUUGGAGCGGCCGAUAUCAGAUUAGCUAGUUGGUGGGGUAAAGGCCUACCAAGGCAACGAUCUGUAGUUGGUCUGAGAGGACGACCAGCCACACUGGGACUGAGACACGGCCCAGACUCCUACGGGAGGCAGCAGUGGGGAAUAUUGGACAAUGGGGGCAACCCUGAUCCAGCCAUGCCGCGUGAGUGAAGAAGGCCCUCGGGUUGUAAAGCUCUUUUGUCCGGAAAGAAAAGCAUCUGGUUAAUACCCGGGUGUUCUGACGGUACCGGAAGAAUAAGCACCGGCUAACUUCGUGCCAGCAGCCGCGGU